rnacentral:lncRNA from 1 species
CUCAAUAAAAAAGAAUUUAUAGAAGAAAAAAAAGAGGGGAAUUAUUUUCCAUUCGGUACUUGUUAUUUGAAGUUAUUUACCCAGCCCUAUGUUAUUUCCUCAUCUCUUGUUGCUAUGCUCUGUAACUAAAAGAUGAGUGGAUUAUAAAAUACUACAGAAAUAUAUAACACCACCAACAAUUCAAUUCUAAUGUGUUUUGAUGUAUUUUCUCUCCAACCCUCUCCCUCUCUUUCACCCCUUCCUCUCUCCGCAUCUCUCUAUCUCUUUCCCUCUCUCUAUCGCCCCCCACCCCCCUCUCUCUCCCUCUCCAUCCUCUCUCUCUCCUCUCCUCAGUCUCCAAGGUCAGGCGAAGGUUGUGGGGAGGUCGGGGGCCGGGGCCCCCAGGGUAGUGGCCCUGUCUCUGACGGCUCAUCUGCCUCAAAGACUAGAACCGCCAGGCCCCAGGUCAGGAGACAAUCAGGGAGUGUUUCCACAGCCACCUCCAAAACCCCUCUGUGAAGAGGAGUGAAGUGCCUGUGUGCAGUGUCCAUCCUGGUGGUCUGUGGCCUGGGCUGGGCUCUCUCCCCUGGUCCCCCUGUUCCCCUGGUGCAUGGCUCUGUCCAGACUGCUCUCCAGCUUCCUCCUCUUCCUCCUGGCUGCUGUAACGCUGACCCCUGACCUUUGACCCCCGCCGUCCUUUGCUCCUCCAAUCCUGUCCCAGACUGGAACUGAGCUACCUCACUGCUCUGCCGACCACCAUGCAAACCCCACGUCCAUUUCUCACCACACACACGCACGCACGCACGCACACACACACACACACACACACACACUUAUUCCGCCAGUUUGCAUGGCAUUUCUCACUAUCUCAUCCGGUACUGUACAACCAGCUGCAGAUGUUAUAAGCCCAGGGCACAAGUUUUCCAUGUUUGCUGCAUCUGAACAAAGUAGGGUCAAAUUUGAAGAGGACACAUGGGGUGGAGGAAUCCUAUGAGAACAGCACUGCUGAGAGUUCCACAGAUUUCUGAGACUUCCAGCCCCAUGACAACGUGUGUUAAGAAAGAGAGAGAAGAGAGUGAUUGUGUUGUCACUCAACUGAUGAAGGAAAUGGAAGUUGGACCGAUGUCAUAAUGAAAGGCAAAAGUAAGUAGAUCUAUCUAUGCAACACGGCCCAGGUUGGAAACAGCUGAACAGUGUUGUGUAGUAUAAGAUUGAUGACGACUGUUGACUUAAAUUCAGUAUCUAUCUACCAUUUCCUUUUUUUUUUUAUUCCUAAGACAUAGAGGAACGGUACGUGGGAAGGUUUUAAACGUAAAAAAUGUGUGCCUUGCUAUUGUUGUUUCUUAUACCUUUUGUUAAAACACUGCUUACCCAGUUAGGUGUUCAAAAGAUGAAAGAGAAAGAAAAAAAGGACAACUGGCAAGGUUGAAACAGGCAUCUGUUUCUAUGUAUACGAUCUCCGACCUUGACGUAUAAUGAUGGUGUACAUGCUUUGUGUUUAGUGUAAAACUGUACGCGUUCUGUGAUGUGGAAUAUUAUGGGCCUUAAAGUGCUAGACUGCAUGGUUAAUAAAUAUACAAACAUGUUGAGAAAUAAACGUUAUUCAUUGGAAACCAUUGGAUUUACAUGCCUGUUCUGUAUGUGAUUCACCUUAAACGUGUACAAGCAUCUUUCAGCGUUGAUCAUUUCUCCUCUUCACACUAUAAACGCAAAAGUGGAACAUUAAAUGAGAAAUAAGGAAGAUGUGUCUGGGUCUAGGCCAUCAUUGGAGAUCCGAGGAGUUAGUACUUCGAAAAGCAGGUGAUUGACAAGACUGAUUGAGGUUAUAUGAAAACAGAUGUUAACUACAAAGAAAACUACAAGUGUUGCCAGCAUCCUAAAUGGAACCCUAUACCCUAUAUAGUGCACUACCUUUGACCAGAGCCCUAUGGGGCCUGGUCAAAAGUAGUGUACUAUAGGGAAUAUGGACACACUGUAUGUUAGCAAGCAUAUAGGCAUUACAUUGACCAUGGUGCGAGUGUGGCCUGCCAUGCA